GACGUAGGGCGCGAGCGUUGUCCGGAUUUAUUGGGCGUAAAGAGCUCGUAGGCGGCUUGUCGCGUCGACUGUGAAAUCCCGCGGCUCAACCGCGGGUCUGCAGUCGAUACGGGCAGGCUAGAGUUCGGUAGGGGAGACUGGAAUUCCUGGUGUAGCGGUGAAAUGCGCAGAUAUCAGGAGGAACACCGAUGGCGAAGGCAGGUCUCUGGGCCAUAACUGACGCUGAGAAGCGAAAGCAUGGGGAGCGAACAGG
rnacentral:rRNA from 1 species